rnacentral:rRNA from 1 species
GUGCCAGCAGCCGCGGUAAUACGGGGGGGGCAAGCGUUGUUCGGAAUUACUGGGCGUAAAGGGCUCGUAGGUGGCCAACUAAGUCGGACGUGAAAUCCCUCGGCUUAACCGGGGAACUGCGUCCGAUACUGGUUGGCUUGAGUUUGGGAGAGGGAUGCGGAAUUCCAGGUGUAGCGGUGAAAUGCGUAGAUAUCUGGAGGAACACCGGUGGCGAAGGCGGCAUCCUGGACCAAUACUGACGCUGAGGAGCGAAAGCCAGGGGAGCAAACGGGAUUAGAUACCCCCGUAGUCC